CGAAUUGCGCUAUGUAAUGUGNAUUGCAGAAUUCAGUGAAUCAUCGAAUCUUUGUACGCACAUUGUA
rnacentral:rRNA from 1 species